rnacentral:rRNA from 1 species
AGCGAACGCUGGCGGCAGGCCUAACACAUGCAAGUCGAACGAACCCUUCGGGGUUAGUGGCGGACGGGUGAGUAACACGUGGGAACGUGCCUUUAGGUUCGGAAUAACUCAGGGAAACUUGUGCUAAUACCGCAUGUUCCCUUCGGGGGAAAGAUUUAUCGCCUUUAGAGCGGCCCGCGUCUGAUUAGCUAGUUGGCGAGGUAAUGGCUCACCAAGGCUACGAUCAGUAACUGGUCUGAGAGGAUGACCAGCAACAUUGGGACUGAGACACGGCCCAAACUCCUACGGGAGGCAGCAGUGGGGAAUCUUGCGCAAUGGGCGAAAGCCUGACGCAGCCAUGCCGCGUGGAUGAUGAAGGUCUUAGGAUUGUAAAAUCCUUUCACCGGUGAAGAUAAUGACUGUAGCCGGAGAAGAAGCCCCGGCUAACUUCGUGCCAGCCGCCGCAGUAAAAC